rnacentral:rRNA from 1 species
CUUUUGAUGAUAAUUUAAGGUCUGGCCUGCCCACUGAUAAAUUAAAUGGCCGCGGUAAUUUGACCGUGCAAAGGUAGCAUAAUCAUUAGUUUUUUAAUUGAAAGCUGGAAUGAAAGGUUGGAUGAGAAAAUAACUGUCUCURUUUAARUUUAUUAAAAUUUUAUUUUUAAGUAAAAAAGCUUAAAUUUGUAUAAAAGACGAGAAGACCCUAUAGAGUUUAAUUAAUUUUUAUUUUAAAAUUAUAAGAAUUUAAGUUUUUCAAAUAAAAAUUAAUUUAAUUGGGGUGAUUAAAAAAUUAAAYUAACUUUUUUUUUAUUUWNNCAUUAAUUUAUGAAAGUUUGAUCCUUAUUUAAAGAUUAUAAGAUUAAAUUACCUUAGGGAUAACAGCGUAAUUUUUUUAGAGAGUUCAAAUCGAAAAAAAAGAUUGCGACCUCGAUGUUGGAUUAAAAUAAAAUUUUGGUGUAGAAGCUAAA